rnacentral:tRNA from 1 species
GGAGAGUUGGCAGAGUGGUAAUGCAGCGGAUUGCUAAUCCGUCGGCGGGUAAUACCGUCGCAUGAGUUCAAAUCUCAUACUCUCCG